AUUGAACGCUGGCGGCAUGCCUUACACAUGCAAGUCGAACGGUAACAGGUCUUCGGAUGCUGACGAGUGGCGAACGGGUGAGUAAUACAUCGGAACGUGCCUAGUAGUGGGGGAUAACUACUCGAAAGAGUGGCUAAUACCGCAUGAGAUCUACGGAUGAAAGCAGGGGAUCGCAAGACCUUGUGCUACUAGAGCGGCCGAUGGCAGAUUAGGUAGUUGGUGGGAUAAAAGCUUACCAAGCCGACGAUCUGUAGCUGGUCUGAGAGGACGAUCAGCCACACUGGGACUGAGACACGACCCAGACUCCUACGGGAGGCAGCAGUGGGGAAUUUUGGACAAUGGGCGCAAGCCUGAUCCAGCAAUGCCGCGUGCAGGAUGAAGGCCUUCGGGUUGUAAACUGCUUUUGUACGGAACGAAAAGCCCUGGGUUAAUACCCUGGGGUCAUGACGGUACCGUAAGAAUAAGCACCGGCUAACUACGUGCCAGCAGCCGCUGUAAGAC
rnacentral:rRNA from 1 species